rnacentral:rRNA from 1 species
AUUGAACGCUGGCGGCAGGCCUAACACAUGCAAGUCGAGCGGAUGAAGGGAGCUUGCUCCUGGAUUCAGCGGCGGACGGGUGAGUAAUGCCUAGGAAUCUGCCUGGUAGUGGGGGAUAACGUCCGGAAACGGGCGCUAAUACCGCAUACGUCCUGAGGGAGAAAGUGGGGGAUCUUCGGACCUCACGCUACCAGAUGAGCCUAGGUCGGAUUAGCUAGUUGGUGGGGUAAAGGCCUACCAAGGCGACGAUCCGUAACUGGUCUGAGAGGAUGAUCAGUCACACUGGAACUGAGACACGGUCCAGACUCCUACGGGAGGCAGCAGUGGGGAAUAUUGGACAAUGGGCGAAAGCCUGAUCCAGCCAUGCCGCGUGUGUGAAGAAGGUCUUCGGAUUGUAAAGCACUUUAAGUUGGGGGAAGGGCAGUAAGUUAAUACCUUGCUGUUUUGACGUUACCAACAGAAUAAGCACCGGCUAACUUCGUG